rnacentral:rRNA from 1 species
GAUCCCCUACGGGGCGCAGCAGUAGGGAAUCUUCCACAAUGGACGAAAGUCUGAUGGAGCAACGCCGCGUGAACGAGGAAGGUCUUCGGAUCGUAAAGUUCUGUUGAAGGGGAAAAAGAGCGGAGAGAGGAAAUGGUCUCCGAUUGAUAUUACCCUUCGAGGAAGUCACGGCUAACUACGUGCCAGCAGCCGCGGUAAUACGUAGGUGGCGAGCGUUAUCCGGAAUGAUUGGGCGUCAAGGGUGCGUAGGCGGCCUGCUAAGUCUGGAGUGAAAGGUACCGGCUCAACCGGUACAG